rnacentral:rRNA from 1 species
UGACGGUACCUGACUAAGAAGCUCCGGCUAAAUACGUGCCAGCAGCCGCGGUAAUACGUAUGGAGCAAGCGUUAUCCGGAUUUACUGGGUGUAAAGGGAGCGCAGGCGGUUUUGUAAGUUGGAUGUGAAAGCCCGGGGCUCAACCUCGGGACUGCAUCCAAAACUACAUAACUAGAGUGUCGGAGGGGCAAGCGGAAUUCCUAGUGUAGCGGUGAAAUGCGUAGAUAUUAGGAGGAACACCGGUGGCGAAGGCGGCUUGCUGGACGAUAACUGACGCUGAGGCUCGAAAGCGUGGGGAGCAAACAGGAUUAGAUACCCUG